rnacentral:tRNA from 1 species
GCCUGGUGGCUCAGUUGGUUAAGCGUCUGACUUUGGCUCAGGUCAUGAUCUCAUGGUUUGUGGGUUUGAGCCCCGCAUCGGGCU